rnacentral:lncRNA from 1 species
GGGCUGAGGGCACCAGCUGUACCCCCGUGGGGGGCUCGGGGGGUCAGCCGUCCCCCGUCUCACUGCCCUCUCCCCCAGGCCGAGCCCCCGGUGCCGGCGGACGCGGUGCUGCGCUGGCUGCGGGCGGAGGGCGCGGACCCGCGGCCCCGGCCCAGGAGCUGCUGGGCUUGGCCUGGCGGUUGCUCCGGAGAGCGGAAGACCACGGCUUGGAGAGCUGGAACGGGCGGCGGGAGCAGGACAUGAGAGACGUGGAAAGCUACGUGGGCCACGUGCGUGCCCUGACGGAGGAGCGGGAUGCCAUCGCCUCGGAGUACGAGAGGGAGAAUGAACAGCUCAGGUUGGAGCUGGCACGGCUGCAGCUGCUCCAGGGUGGUUCCUGAUCCGAGGGCUCUCGUUGGACACUCUCGUUGGGUGUUGGUGGAGGGCAGGUCAAUGGCACCUGUGCUGUGGUGCCAAAAACCUUCCUGAAAAACAACUGGAAUGGGCAGUGAAGCACCACACUGGGGGGAGCUGCCUCCAUUUGUUUCGAAAGUGGAAUAAAAAGAAUAAAUAGUCGUGGUCUGAGCUUGUU